rnacentral:rRNA from 1 species
GUGGGGAAUAUUGCACAAUGGGGGAAACCCUGAUGCAGCGACGCCGCGUGAAGGAAGAAGUAUUUCGGUAUGUAAACUUCUAUCAGCAGGGAAGAAAAUGACGGUACCUGACUAAGAAGCCCCGGCUAACUACGUGCCAGCAGCCGCGGUAAUACGUAGGGGGCAAGCGUUAUCCGGAUUUACUGGGUGUAAAGGGAGCGUAGGCGGUUUGGCAAGUCAGAAGUGAAAGCCCGGGGCUCAACUCCGGGACUGCUUUUGAAACUGUUAGACUAGAUUGCAGGAGAGGUAAGUGGAAUUCCUAGUGUAGCGGUGAAAUGCGUAGAUAUUAGGAGGAACACCAGUGGCGAAGGCGGCUUACUGGACUGUGAAUGACGCUGAGGCUCGAAAGCGUGGGGAGCAAACAGGA